UUACCAAGUUGCUCAGUCAGAAUCAGAUCAAUAUUAAACAUGAAGUUCCUGAUUGCUCUAAUGGUCAUCAUGACCCUUGCCCCUGGAUUCAACGCAGCUCCAGCCCUUCAACAACAAUUUGGCUUCUACCCACCUGCACCUGGACCAGCACCUGUAUCCGCUCCUGGGCCUGCCUUCUAUAGUGCCCAUGAAUUAUACCGACGUGGAAUCAUCUCCGCUGCUCCAAUGGACUACUCCUAUGGUAAUUUCGCCCCACAUUUUGCUCCAGCUGCAGCUGCAGCAGCACCUCCAGCAUCAGCACCAAUCUACGCUGAUGGUACCCAAGCCUCACCUUUUGACAGACGCAGAGUAAACCCUGGUCCAUUUGCUUAUUCAAGUUAUUCCAGCGCCACCUAUACUCACGCCUUUGCUACUCCUCACUUUUUUAAUGCCCCAAAUGUCCCUCAUAAUAAUCCUAUUAAUUAAUAAGUUAAAAUACAUAAAAA